rnacentral:lncRNA from 1 species
UCAUAUUUGUUGCUGAAACUGCAUAAUCUGCGCUGCUUUCGCUGAGUGCACUGCAAGAACAUACCUACAGCAUGAAGCUACUGUCGAUGGUUGCGGCUUUGAUGGUGGCCCUGGCAUGUCUGGUGAGCUGGAGCAGCGCCACGCCUGUGCCUGACCCCGUGGCUGACCCUGACCCCGCGGCUGACCCAGGCUACCGUCGCUUCGGUGGAUAUGGUGGAUACGGCGGAUACGGCUAUGGGGGUCGUGGAUACGGAUACGGAGGAUAUCGCGGUGGCUUUUAUGGAUAAUUAUGCUACUAAUACUGGACUUCUGCUGACAACCCUAUAAAAAAGAAUAUUGAAAAGAACGCUCCUUAUCUUGUUUGGCAAUUCUUCAGAAAUAAACUACUGUAUAUGGACGAAAA